rnacentral:rRNA from 1 species
UACCAGCUCUCCGAGUGGUAGGGAUGUUUAUUGGGCUUAAAGCGUCCGUAGCCGGCUUAGCAAGUCUCCUGUUAAAUUCAGCGACCUAAUCGUUGAGCCGCGGGAGAUACUACUAGGCUAGGAGGCGGGAGAGGUCAACGGUACUUCCGGGGUAGGGGUGAAAUCCUAUAAUCCCGGGAGGACCACCAGUGGCGAAGGCUGUUGACUAGAACGCGCUCGACGGUGAGGGACGAAAGCUGGGGGAGCGAACCGGGAUUAGAUACCCGGGUAGUCCCAGCUGUAAACGAUGCGAGCUAGGUGUUGGGGUGGCUACGUGCCACUUCAGUGCCGCAGGGAAGCCAUUAAGCUCGCCGCCUGGGGAGUACGGCCGCAGGCUGAAACUUAAAGGAAUUGGCGGGGAGCACCACAAGGCGUGAAGCUUGGCGUUC